rnacentral:rRNA from 1 species
UACGUAGGGGGGCAAGCGUUAUCCGGAAUACUGGGCGUAAAGCGCACGCAGGCGGUUUGUUGCGUCGGCUGUGAAAACCUGAGGCUCAACCUCAGGCCUGCAGUCGAUACGAGCAGACUAGAGUGUUGCAGGGGAGACUGGAAUUCCUGGUGUAGCGGUGAAAUGCGCAGAUAUCAGGAGGAACACCGGUGGCGAAGGCGGGUCUCUGGGCAACAACUGACGCUGGAGGAGCGAAAGCGUGGGGAGCGAACAGG